GGCCUUUUGGCUAAGAUCAAGUGUAGUAUCUGUUCUUAUCAGUUUAAUAUCUGAUAUGUGGGCCAUUGGCUCACACGAUAUUAAAUUUAUUUUUUAAGGGGGAGGGUCCACCACAAUAGCUUGCUAUUGGGCUCUCAUGCGUCGCCCAUGCCUUACACUAUCGCAAGGGCUGGGCGCACCCCACCAAACCUAGUUCAACUUUUUUAUAUUUUUAUUUUAGGUGAAUAAUUUUGCCAUAAAUGCUAAUUUCGUCUUUAAAUAUUUCGAUUGAAUGAAAUAUUUGCUUAUGCGCUUCCAUUCCGUAAAUUUCAUUGCACUACGUUGAGUUUACUAUUUUUUGUUAUAAGCACUUUAGUCCCACAUCGAGAGCCCUUAGCCCCUGAGUCUUAUCUUAUUAUUUCAUCUUAGUGCUUAGCCUUUUAAAUCAAAGUCCCACAUUGAUUCGGCAUCUCAGCCAUCAACUUGGAAUGUGUUGUGUAUCUUGGGAAGCUAAUUCUUCAACUGUCAUAAUCCCUCUCAACACUGUUGAGUUCAAAGAGAGUAUUAUAUAAGAUUUUCAUGGAUUGUGGGGAUAAUCAUGGAUUAAGGAAAACUAAUUCCGUAUACAUUGCAGAUUUUUGGACUGAAAGAUUGGCUCAAGGGAACUCUGUCCAAUGAUAGCUUGUUUAUCUUGGGGAGAAGCCAUCUCUUAGAUGCUUCAUUAGCUGCAGAAAAUCAAUAUCUCAAGGGGAAAUGUAUGACGCUGAGAUUAGAAGGAAGAAGAAGACAAUACAGAAUUAAUUUAAGUUAGUGGGGCACGUUGUGAGGUGAAAAUUGAGACCAAAGCACUUAUCUAGUGCCACAUUGAAGAAGCAUGAGGACGGAGAGGGUAGAGUUUACUAUAAGAUUAGGUAGGUUCAGCUUAAUUACAUAUUUUCUAACUAGGAUCACCCUUAGCAUUAUUUAACAAGUGUGUGCAAAAAGCAAGCAUCUGGAUCUAGAUAGGGUAUCCAGAUGCUUGCUUUUGUUUAUGUAUAUAUUAAAAUUGCAUGAACAGAGAGCUGUUAUUUUAUACACUUGGAUUUUAGAGUCUAAAGGUAAAUAAGCUGAAAUUGCACGGUAUUAAUGAAAAAGUUUUGUCUUGUUUACAAGUUUUAUUUCCAAAAUUUCAUUUUGAAUCAGCUGGGGGUGUUUUAUGAGCAGAAUUGGAGUAUGGAGCAAAGGUGAACUGUUGUACACUGCCAAACUUGAUAAGGCAGAAAUCUUAUAAGCAAAUUCCAGAAAAGUCUGGAUUCACAACUUAAGAAAGCAGUAACGAAGCUGGAGAUGUUUUACUCUUUCCAGAAUGGUUUGUUGGAGACAUGGAGUUACUGCUAUCUGAUCGAUCAAGAACACCAACUAGGCAAGGAAUCAAAUCUCAACGGAGGAAAGGGUGACAAGUAGCAACUAAUACUAUAACCAUGUCUUUCAUACAAAGGUGUGGUGUGCAAGUCCCACAUUGAGGAAACAAAAGCAACAUAACAGAAGCAUGUAUUAUAAGUAGUGCUUUCGAACUCAGUUUCAAAUUAAAAAGGGUCAGUUGGCUAACUAUGCCACGCUCGCUAUAUUCUAGUGGGUGCUGUAUGGCUAUCAAGACAUAUGGCUGACGUAAUUUGUGGAAACUACAGGGUUGGCUCGCUUAGCCGACCCUACA